rnacentral:rRNA from 1 species
UCGGGAGUUAACAGCAUUUACGUUCUGGAUGAUGUUGGAAGGAUGUCCAAGAAAAGCUUCUAAGCUUUGAAGCACACGUGACCGUACUAAAACUGACACAGGUAGGCGAGAUGAGUAGUCUCAGGCGCUCGGGAGAACGGUGGUUAAGGAACUCUGCAAAAUGGCUCCGUAAGUUCGCGAUAAGGGGCGCCUACGCAAGUAGGCCACAGAAAAUCGGCACUGGCGACUGUUUAUCAAAAACACAGGUCUCUGCCAACUCGUAAGAGGAUGUAUAGAGACUGACGCCUGCCCGGUGCUGGUAGGUUAAGGAAGAGAGUUAGCAUCUUCGGAUGCGAAGCCCGCGACCGAAGCCCCAGUAAACGGCGGCCCUAACUAUGAGGGUCCUAAGGUAGCGAAGUUCCUUGUCGGGUAAGUUCCGACCUGCAUGAAAGGCGUAACGACUGGUGCACUGUCUCAACCACCGACCCGGUGAAAUUGUAGUCGUGGUGAAGAUGCCACGUACCCGCGGUUAGACGGAAAGACCCCAUGAACCUUCACUGUAGGCUGAUAUUGGGCUGAGGUAUGUUUUGUGUAGUAUAGCUGGGAGACUGUGAAAAGGUGGCGCCAGCCAUCUUGGAGUCAACGUUGAAAUACCAGCCUGAAUAUGCUUUAGUUCUAACCUUGUCCCGUGAAACCGGGCAGGGAACAGUGUCAGUUGGGCAGUUUGACUGGGGCGGUCUCCUCCUAAAGAGUAACGGAGGAGUGCAAAGGUACCCUCAGCCUGGUCGGCAAUCAGGCGAAGAGCGUAAAGGUAUAAGGGUGCUUAACUGCGAGAGUCAUAACUCGAGCAGAUACGAAAGUAGGUCUUAGUGAUCCGGUGAUUCCGAAUGGAAGGGUCAUCGCUCAUCAGAUAAAAGGUACUCUGGGGAUAACAGGCUUAUCGCAUCCGAGCGUCCACAGCGGCGAUGCGGUUUGGCACCUCGAUGUCGGCUCAUCACAUCCUGGGGGUGUAGAAGCUCCCAAGGGUUUGGCUGUUCGCCAAUGAAAGUGGUACGUGAGCUGGGUUCAGACCGUCGUGAGACAGGUCGGUCCCUAUCUGCCGUGGGCGUUCGAAACUUGAGGAGGUUCUUCAUUAGUACGAGAGGAUUUUGAAGGACGUAGCUCUGGUGUACCAGUUGUCACGCUAGUGGCACGGCUGGAUAGCUAACUACGGAAAGGAUAAACGCUGAAAGCAUCUAAGCGUGAAGCCCGCUCCAAGAUUAGGUUUCGUAGAACAUUUGUUCGAAAGUCCCCUGAUAGACGAUCAGGUUAAUAGGCUGGACGUGUAAGUACCGUAAGGUAUUCAGCUUACCAGUACUAAUGGACGAAAGCUUGACCAC